rnacentral:rRNA from 1 species
AUUGAACGCUGGCGGCAGGCCUAACACAUGCAAGUCGAGCGGAUGACAGGAGCUUGCUCCUGGAUUCAGCGGCGGACGGGUGAGUAAUGCCUAGGAAUCUGCCUGGUAGUGGGGGACAACGUUUCGAAAGGAACGCUAAUACCGCAUACGUCCUACGGGAGAAAGCAGGGGACCUUCGGGCCUUGCGCUAUCAGAUGAGCCUAGGUCGGAUUAGCUAGUUGGUUAGGUAAUGGCUCACCAAGGCGACGAUCCGUAACUGGUCUGAGAGGAUGAUCAGUCACCCUGGAACUGGGACACGGUCCAGACUCCUACGGGAGGCAGCAGUGGGGAAUAUUGGACAAUGGGCGAAAGCCUGAUCCAGCCAUGCCGCGUGUGUGAAGAAGGUCUUCGGAUUGUAAAGCACUUUAAGUUGGGAGGAAGGGUUGUAGAUUAAUACUCUGCAAUUUUGACGUUACCGACAGAAUAAGCACCGGCUAACUCUGUGCCAGCAGCCGCGGUAAAAC